rnacentral:rRNA from 1 species
GACAGAGGCCUCGAGCGUUAGGCGGAAUCACUGGGCUUAAAGCGCGUGUAGGCGGAUCGUUAAGUGCCUUGUGAAAUCCCGCGGCUCAACCGCGGAACCGCUGGGCAUACUGGCGGUCUUGGGCCACUCAGGGGUCACUGGAACAAGCGGUGGAGCGGUGAAAUGCGUAGAUAUCGCUUGGAACGCCAAAGGUGAAGACAGGUGACUGGGGGUGUGGCCGACGCUGAGACGCGAAAGCCAGGGGAGAGCAAAGCGGGACUUAGAUGAUCCCCAGUAG